AACAGUCUUGUCUGGACCAAUUAA
rnacentral:siRNA from 1 species